UGGGGAAUAUUGGACAAUGGGCGAAAGCCUGAUCCAGCCAUGCCGCGUGUGUGAAGAAGGUCUUCGGAUUGUAAAGCACUUUAAGUUGGGAGGAAGGGCAGUAAGCGAAUACCUUGCUGUUUUGACGUUACCGACAGAAUAAGCACCGGCUAACUCUGUGCCAGCAGCCGCAGUAAUACAGAGGGUGCAAGCGUUAAUCGGAAUUACUGGGCGUAAAGCGCGCGUAGGUGGUUCGUUAAGUUGAAUGUGAAAGCCCCGGGCUCAACCUGGGAACUGCAUCCAAAACUGGCGAGCUAGAGUAGGGCAGAGGGUGGUGGAAUUUCCUGUGUAGCGGUGAAAUGCGUAGAUAUAGGAAGGAACACCAGUGGCGAAGGCGACCACCUGGGCUCAUACUGACACUGAGGUGCGAAAGCGUGGGGAGCAAAUAGG
rnacentral:rRNA from 1 species